UACAGAGGUCUCAAGCGUUGUUCGGAUUCAUUGGGCGUAAAGGGUGCGUAGGUGGCGCGGUAAGUUGGGUGUGAAAUUUCGGAGCUUAACUCCGAAACUGCAUUCGAUACUGCCAUGCUUGAGGACUGGAGAGGAGACUGGAAUUUACGGUGUAGCGGUGAAAUGCGUAGAUAUCGUAAGGAAGACCAGUGGCGAAGGCGGGUCUCUGGACAGUUCCUGACGCUGAGGCACGAAGGCCAGGGGAGCAAACGGG
rnacentral:rRNA from 1 species